UACGUAGGGGGCGAGCGUUGUCCGGAUUUAUUGGGCGUAAAGAGCUCGUAGGCGGUUUGUUGCGUCGGCCGUGAAAACCUGCAGCUUAACUGUGGGCCUGCGGCCGAUACGGGCAGACUUGAGUUCGGUAGGGGAGACUGGAAUUCCUGGUGUAGCGGUGAAAUUCGUAGAUAUCGGGAGGAACACCGGUGGCGAAGGCGGCGACCUGGGUAGAUACUGACGCUGAGGCGCGAAAGCGUGGGGAGCAAACAGG
rnacentral:rRNA from 1 species